rnacentral:lncRNA from 1 species
AUGGGAAAGAACAAGGGUGUACCUUGCUUUUUGUGGCCUUUUCUGUCGGAUGAGGUUCUUGAGCUGAUAAUGCAGGAAACUGUCAGAUGUUGGGAAACCAGGUCACCCAGCAGUUUCAAGUGGACGUUUGUACACUUCUGCAAGAGAAAAUACAUCUCUGAGCAGACAUACUUCAGGGGAGGUUCUCAGAUCACAAGUAGUGGAGCAGAUGCGCUGAGAAGAGGCACUUUCAGUGGUGUGUGCGGCAGAUUCAGCAGAUCCAGCCUCCUAUUUCCUGUUCUUCCAGUAUCAUCUGUUACUCAUGACGGCAUUUUGUAUAUUGUCCUUACACAACUGGCAGAGAGGUCAAAGUAAAGUGAAAUGAAUUGCAUGGUGCAAACUGUAAUGCAAAUUCUGAAAAAUAAUUAUUUUUGGAUGAUGUUUUGACAUGUUUUUUGAAGGUUACAGUUGUACUAGCUUCUACUCUGUUCAUACCACAAGGUAACAGAUAUUGUGAAUCUGAGGAGAUGAGAUACAGUGAGAAGUGUACAAAAACUUAUUUUGUAUGGCCAACUAUGAAAAUUAUUGUUAAUAAAUUAAAAAAAAAAAAGGCUGAUAUCACAGCUGAGCCAUCUCUCUAUAAACCAAACAGAAAAUCAAACUUUGACAAAAAGCCUGUGAGAAAUUCUUUAAAUCCCUUCCCCUUUUAUCUCUGCUUCUUUGCCUGGAAACUGAUUCAUGCCUAUUGGAGUUGAAAUUCUGCUGUUCUGUCAGCUAGUCAGCAUCUGAAGGGAGAGGUGAGAUUUCAGAACUUUUUUUUUUGUUUUUUUAUGUGUUAAUAAAAAAGACCAUCAUUUUUUAUUUAUUUAGAAUUUUGCAGUGUGUCAUGCACAUCCUUCUUUGCAAUAUGUCUAAGUUUCUUGGGGGAUUGGAGGUGAGUGUUUUUCUGUGAUGAUUAAAUAUCCCAAGUAUGGGCAGAUCCUCAGCUAACAAAUCAAUGUGCAGGUAGUUCCCAAGAGGUCAGAACAAAUGGUCCAAUGCUAAUCUUACACUAGCUAAAACAUGCAAGUCUUAGUUCUGGUAACGUUUGGAGAUAGUAGCUAUUAAAAUUGACCUGCAAUCCCCACUUGACAAAAAUGGUGCCAGGGACUACCGGGAGGAAGAGGAGGGUUUGAUUNNNNNNNNNNAAUUGACCUGCAAUCCCCACUUGACAAAAACGGUGCCAGAUUCUCUCCAAGACCCUGUUUAUUUAAGGAUUUCCACCCAAAUAAUUAGGAUCAGAUCACAUUUUUGAUAGCUGUGUGAAGAGCUGUGCAGGAACUUGAGGCUGGAAUUUGUAGGAGCCAGAAGGUUAUCAAAAAAGGUGUGUGUGAUUUCAAAGCUUUGCCUGCCUUAGUUUUCAACUAAGUAUUGGGACUACAGGGAGGAAGAGGAGGGUUUGAUUAUUUUUUUUAAGAUUUUGAAAGAUUAUGCCUUUGUUAUUUGUUGACUGGUGUAGCUUAUCAAAGCUCUUAGUUAUUUGCAGGAUGUUCCACAAAUCAAAGUCUGUUUUUGCUUUUGAUUUAAAAAAAAAAAAAAAAAAAAAAAAGUUAAGAAAAGACCCCUGGUUGUUCCCUGAAUGUCAUCAAGUGGCUUGAGUUUGUCUCAGUCAUAGGUGCUGGUGGGGAUGUCUGCAGCUGGUCCUGCAGUGUCAGUGAGGGUCAUUUUAGGAAACUAUAUGGUUUAUGGGAUGACGUUUCCAUCACCAGGAAAAGAUGCUGUACUGUCAUGGUAAAGUAUGUGGGGGGAGGGAAGCCGAGUAGUUGUUGUGCUGGAAAACUGCAACCUAGAAAUUACUGUUGUGACUCAUUAGAUGAUAUCAUUUGGAAACUGAGUAAUUACAUCCUAUCCCCCCCUUGUAUUUGACUUGGGGUGAUGUACUGGAGCACUGGUGUGUCUGACAGCUAGGUGACCUUUCAGUGAAGCGUCUGGCUGCAUCAGGGAUGGCUCCAUGGUGCAGAAGAGCAUGAAUUCGUUGUGUACCAGAGUUAUGCUGGAAGUCCCGAUACCUUUGUUUUGGUUCCCCUGUGUGUUGCUAAAUGAGCUCUUGAAACAAAGCCAGAAGAGGAAAAGCGGAGAGAAGUGUAUUUUUUGUUGAUUAAUACACGUGCCCUGCGUUGUGUUGUGUAACAGGAAGGACUGAGGACAGGUUUGUUUUUAUUGCAGCUAUCUGCACAUCUUUGUGCUUGAUACAGCCACAGACCUUCAGACCUGUGCCCACAAGAGAGUGGUGUUGAGCCAUCCAUUUGCAUACCAGGUACAAGGAUUGAAUUUACAGGGUUUUUUAUACGUAAAGUACAAUUUGACCAGUUCGGAUUCCCAAAUAAAAUGUGACUUUUCAAUCAAAUACGCUUUAUGCUGAUUUGCAGUAAUAUACAUAUUUUGAAAUUCAGCUGUUUUAGAAUAUAAAGGAACUGUAAAUACACCAGCUGUUGUUUCUGUCAUAUUAUUUCUACUGUAUGUGUCCACGUGGUUUUUUACUUAUUACUGGAAGAAAAUAAACCAUUUUGAACCUGCUUACAGCCAGGGCUGGUCAUUCAGUGUGGAUGUGCCCCUCCAAGGUUUCCUAGGUUGUUUGGGGUUGUAGUCUGCCUGUUGGUGCUGACAGAGCUCUGUGUAAGUCCUCCUGGCUCUGACUUGGGGUUACAGCUAGUCAGGCAGGAAGGGAGGGCUCUAAUUUCUGUGCUGGAUGAUGCACGUUAAGGCUCUGAGCUGGUGAAGUGGCUCUCAUUCAGAAUAUUUGUAUGUAAGCACUUGAGACUUUGGAAAGAUCACAACCUGUAGCAGCUCAUGCUGAAAAAGCUGGCCUUCCCUAUUGGAAGUAAGUGCUGACAGUGGUUAUAGCUGAUGUGUUUGAAUAUGUACGUUAUUAGCACGUGUUCAUUUUUGUUCUCUGUACUGGCUCACGUUACUACUUGACUUGCUCUUUCCAUUUCACCUCAAACUAAUGAAAACUGAAAUGCCUCCUGAAAGCUCAUUGUUUACUGAAAUUUGUAUCCUCCAAAAAAAAAAAAAACCCUAACUUUUAGCACUGCUUUCUUGAAUUUGAAAGCUACAUUUAUCUGUCUGAAAUGGGUAGUGUCCUGUGCCUAAGUUUGCAAGCAGCUCUUAAGUUGGAGCAUAAUAAUAAAUGCAUAUGAGCUGACAAUAUUUCUUACUUGAGCUAUCUCUGGAGAACUGUCAGGAAAAAUAUCAACAAAAGAUCACUAUGAUAGGGGCAUAUCACUAAAAAAGAAAAUCAGAGGAAAAAAAAAAAUCCUCCUGUGCUCUUUUUAGCUGGUUAUUUCAUCUUCCUUUUGGGGGAAAAAAAAAAAAAAAAAAAAGUCAAGCCGGAGGCAUAGAGACUAGGUGCUUUCAAAGUUGAUCUUAUGUGCUAGUCAAGGAGUCUGACAUCAUUGCUUUGUUUUUCCUUACUGGAAAAGAAAAAAAAAAAAAAAAGGUAAGCUGGGAGCAGGUGGGAUUCCUUGGGCUCGUCCCUGCAGAUGUUGCAGCCCUGAUGGCUGUUGAGCAUGGCGUGGGUGAGCUGACCUGUGCCCUGUGUGCAUAAGGCAAAGAACUAGCCUGAUGGUUUUCAGGGAUCUCAUUUGUGUUGAUUGGUUCUUUUUUUUUUUUUUUUUUUCUUGUGUUGUACUUCUCUAUUUCAUUAUCAGUUUUGAAUAAAAGCUGUAGUGUCUGGAUUUGUGUGUGUGGUUUUCCUGAUAGAGGGGAGAAUGGAGUCGGGGCUCUGCCACCUAGAUGUGCUGGCGGUGUGCGGGAAGAGGCUUGGAAAUACUCAGCUGAGGCUGCCCGUAUGUGGCUGCUAAAUUGGGUUUGGUCCUUUGAGGCGUGAUGCACUCGGUGUAUUAGAGACUCAAACCCUGUCGCCUCGGAGCUGCUGUGCUGGGCUGUGUCAUGUUUGACCACAUAGCCUACGCAAGCUGAAAUUAAAAGUUUAAAAAAGAGGGAGAGA